GGAUUAGAUACCCUGGUAGUCCACGCCGUAAACGAUGUCUACUAGUUGUUGGGAGACUUGAUCUCUUAGUAACGAAGCUAACGCGAUAAGUAGACCGCCUGGGGAGUACGGCCGCAAGGUUAAAACUCAAAUGAAUUGACGGGGGCCCGCACAAGCGGUGGAGCAUGUGGUUUAAUUCGAAGCAACGCGAAGAACCUUACCAGGUCUUGACAUCCAGAGAACUUUCCAGAGAUGGAUUGGUGCCUUCGGGAACUCUGAGACAGGUGCUGCAUGGCUGUCGUCAGCUCGUGCCG
rnacentral:rRNA from 1 species